rnacentral:rRNA from 1 species
CUGGGAGACUUGAGUGCAGGAGAGAAAAGUGGAAUUCCACGUGUAGCGGUGAAAUGCGUAGAGAUGUGGAGGAACACCAGUGGCGAAGGCGGCUUUUUGGCCUGUAACUGACGCUGAGGCGCGAAAGCGUGGGGAGCAAACAGGAUUAGAUACCCUGGUAGUCCACGCCGUAAACGAUGAGUGCUAGGUGUUGGGGGGUUCCACCCUCAGUGCUGAAGUUAACACAUUAAGCACUCCGCCUGGGGAGUACGACCGCAAGGUUGAAACUCAAAGGAAUUGACGGGGGCCCGCACAAGCAGUGGAGCAUGUGGUUUAAUUCGAAGCAACGCGAAGAACCUUACCAGGUCUUGACAUCCUUUGACCACUCUAGAGAUAGAGCUUUCCCCUUCGGGGGACAAAGUGACAGGUGGUGCAUGGUUGUCGUCAGCUCGUGUCGUGAGAUGUUGGGUUAAGUCCCGCAACGAGCGCAACCCUUGACCUUAGUUGCCAGCAUUCAGUUGGGCACUCUAAGGUGACUGCCGGUGACAAACCGGAGGAAGGUGGGGAUGACGUCAAAUCAUCAUGCCCCUUAUGACCUGGGCUACACACGUGCUACAAUGGAUGAUACAAAGGGUUGCGAAGCCGCGAGGCCAAGCCAAUCCCAAAAAGUCAUUCUCAGUUCGGAUUGUAGGCUGCAACUCGCCUACAUGAAGCCGGAAUUGCUAGUAAUCGCGGAUCAGCAUGCCGCGGUGAAUACGUUCCCGGGCCUUGUACACACCGCCCGUCACACCACGAGAGUUUGUAACACCCGAAGUCGGUGGGGUAACCCUUUUGGGAGCCAGCCGCCGAA